ACCCGCACAAAUUUCACCGCUUUUCUUUUUUUCAUUUUCAUUUCCUUUCUCCUCUCAUUCCCCUUCUCUGCUUCUCUUGUUCCUGAGAACAACUGAACAAGUCCCCGCUGCUCUUCCCUCAAAAAAAUAAAGUCCUCGCUGCUUUUCCUCUUCCUGCCGUGUCGUCGCUGCUCUUCCACUCCUCUUUCACGUCGCUCCUCCUUCCCCCACCGCCACUGAGCUCUACCUUCUUCCAGAUGGAAGUAAUUUAGGCAUCCCGAAGGAAACUCCCAGAGAAGGAAGGUCGAAGGCUUUUUCAACAACUAAUUGACUGUGUGAGUUAUUGUCAUGACAGGGUGUCUUUCACCGAGACCUUAAGCUAAAGAAUAUCCUUGUAGACAGAAAAGGAAACAUAAAAGUAUCCGACUUUGGCCUUAGUGCAUUACCCCAGCAUUUCGGGGUAAGUAGAAAAUACUAGAGAAAAAGUCUGAUUGGCUUUUCCUCUCAAGUGCUGUCUUAACAUAAGAUAAGAUUCAGUCUCAUUCAACUGAUCUGAAGGAAGGAAUUUUUAUAGUUUAUUCCAUCAAGGGAAUUUCCAGUGAUGCACAGCUUAUAUAAAAAUUAAGCAACUCUUUUUUUGUUCCUGCAUAUAUUUAUACCCCCUGCAUAUAUUUUCUUGAGUCUAUUUGUGUCCCAUUCGCUGCUUUCCUCAAAUCUAAACAUGGGUAUUGUUCUUUAAAGGAUUUGUUUAUAUUUUGUACCUUGUAUUAUUAUGUCGUCACCUUUGAUCCUUUAAGAAACUUUGUGCGACUAUAUCAACGUUGUUGCUGUGUGAAUCCAAUGUUGUUACUUUAGUACAACAAUAUUACAAUAGUAUUUAUCUUAGAUAUUUUAUCCUUCUAAGCUUCCUAUAUUCAAAAGCAUUUCGGGACAAUUGGCUUUGGAGAGUUUAACCUGCUUAACCAAGCAUCUUUUUGUUAGUGUUUAAUCCAUAAGCCUAUUUCUUAAUUUCCCUUCGCCUCUGUGGUUUGUUCUUUGGUUCGUCAGGUUCUUCUUUCUUUCUUGUACUUAUUUGUCUUCUUUUAUGUAACCCUCUUUUUAUAAGCAACUCUUAUCAUAUUUUGACAUUUCUACUUAUAUGUUAAAAAAAAUUUCAUUUUUAGAAUUGGUAUCCUCGAAGUCAAAUUGUUUUACUGUUCCCAGAAUGAUAUGCAGUCUAGUGCUUUACUUGGAGCCAUCGUCCUUCCCUCUCUGAAAAAAGAAGGGAACUUUUUUUAAAGAUGGAGUUGACUCAUGUUACAAAGGAGUGAGUGAUGCUGAUAGGUUAAAAUCAGGAUCCCUGUCAAAUCAUUGGCUCCGUUUUAUUGUUCUACCAUCUAUAAUAGUUGCAAUCUCUUAGCUUAUGCGCAUUACAAGUUAGCUGUAAAAUUCAACUAACCAAAUAAAUCUUUGUACUUAGAACCUUGUAGUUGUAGCUCAUUUGUAAUGAUCAGUGUGGACAAAUCUCUGAAAAAAAGACUUCUCUUGAUGUGAAGGGCAGGCGAUACCAGCAGGUCUUACUUAGUUACAUUGAGUAGAAUAGUAGAUAUUGGUUCUGUUCUAUACGGAACAGAUAUUUUGUUCACUUCCCUUCCCUUAACAAGAGAAGUGGUGUGGUAAUACAGACAGCAGGAGAUUAUUUUGACUUGGUAAAAGCUUGUAACAUCAGACUAUCAGAGCAGAGAUGAGGGAGUUUAUCUAGGUCUAUAUUAGUACAUAAAGUGCAAGACAAUAUCAUGUUCUGUUCUGGUACUUGGAUAUUAUAACCUUUGGGGGGUUUUUGAGGUUUUAGAUGACCCACAAAUGUCACAAAGAGUCAAAGCUCUGUAAACGAGAUUUAAGUGUGAAUUAAAGUGCUUUGAGGCUAGUCAUGGAUAAUUUUCUAAUUAGUCCUUAAUCUUAUGUUAGUCUUGUACCUUUAUAAUUGGUGCUAUUUCUUACGAAGUAACAAAUAAGGUCUCUAAAAUUGUGUCAAGUUUCAUUAAAAAUAUAUUUAAGCUUUGUGUUAGGAGCUAAGGUAAUCUUAACAUCCACUCUUUUAUGGAUUACACUUAAAUUUCCAUUAAAGUAACCAAGGUAUUCUGUUUUAACCAAAGAGCUAGGAAUCAAGCUGUGGUUUUCGAACCUGUAAACUUCCCAGUAGGUUUGUACUAUUGCUGCUGUUGUUUCUUUUUAAGUACUGCUUCACAUUGAAUGUUGUCUUGCAAUAUCUAGUUUGAUGUGUUUAUACUUUAUAGUGCAAUAGCUAGUUUGGAGUUUGUUAUUGCAACAAGCCAGUGCUCAGUGGCUAUUGUUAAGCUUCAAAAGGUCCUUAGGGAUUGGACAGCAAGUGACAUUGGAACAACAGGCCAGUGCCAGUGCUCAGUGGCUAUUGUUAAGCUUCCCGUCCAGUUUUUUUUUGGCAGAAUGUUCUCAUCUAGUAUGAAGAAAGGGAUUGGACAGCAAGUGACAUUGGAACAACUUUCUGAAGCUUUUCGUUUGUGCGUACUCAGUAUCCCAGGGUUGAGACGGUAAUCAAGAUGAUGGCAUGAUCAGGUAUUCAAUAAUUCGAGGGAGCAGCCUUUCACCUUUGAGGAGAUAGAUGAAGUUCGAGAAAUGUUGGCAAAAUUCAUUACCAGUGAUUGUCUUUGAUAUUUUCUUGUACCGAAUCUUAAAUUAUGGAUGCUAGCUAGUUUUUCAUAUGAUUGUAAUGUAAUCGACUUUUAUAUUUACAAUUAUAUACUAUUUAAUUUAAUUAUCUAUAUAAUUGGAUACUUUUUAUAUGA